rnacentral:rRNA from 1 species
GGUUAAGCGACUAAGCGUACACGGUGGAUGCCCUGGCAGUCAGAGGCGAUGAAGGACGUGCUAAUCUGCGAUAAGCGUCGGUAAGGUGAUAUGAACCGUUAUAACCGGCGAUUUCCGAAUGGGGAAACCCAGUGUGUUUCGACACACUAUCAUUAACUGAAUCCAUAGGUUAAUGAGGCGAACCGGGGGAACUGAAACAUCUAAGUACCCCGAGGAAAAGAAAUCAACCGAGAUUCCCCCAGUAGCGGCGAGCGAACGGGGAGCAGCCCAGAGCCUGAAUCAGUGUGUGUGUUAGUGGAAGCGUCUGGAAAGGCGCGCGAUACAGGGUGACAGCCCCGUACACAAAAAUGCACAUACUGUGAGCUCGAUGAGUAGGGCGGGACACGUGGUAUCCUGUCUGAAUAUGGGGGGACCAUCCUCCAAGGCUAAAUACUCCUGACUGACCGAUAGUGAACCAGUACCGUGAGGGAAAGGCGAAAAGAACCCCGGCGAGGGGAGUGAAAAAGAACCUGAAACCGUGUACGUACAAGCAGUGGGAGCACGCUUAGGCGUGUGACUGCGUACCUUUUGUAUAAUGGGUCAGCGACUUAUAUUCUGUAGCAAGGUUAACCGAAUAGGGGAGCCGAAGGGAAACCGAGUCUUAACUGGGCGUUAAGUUGCAGGGUAUAGACCCGAAACCCGGUGAUCUAGCCAUGGGCAGGUUGAAGGUUGGGUAACACUAACUGGAGGACCGAACCGACUAAUGUUGAAAAAUUAGCGGAUGACUUGUGGCUGGGGGUGAAAGGCCAAUCAAACCGGGAGAUAGCUGGUUCUCCCCGAAAGCUAUUUAGGUAGCGCCUCGUGAAUUCAUCUCCGGGGGUAGAGCACUGUUUCGGCAAGGGGGUCAUCCCGACUUACCAACCCGAUGCAAACUGCGAAUACCGGAGAAUGUUAUCACGGGAGACACACGGCGGGUGCUAACGUCCGUCGUGAAGAGGGAAACAACCCAGACCGCCAGCUAAGGUCCCAAAGUCAUGGUUAAGUGGGAAACGAUGUGGGAAGGCCCAGACAGCCAGGAUGUUGGCUUAGAAGCAGCCAUCAUUUAAAGAAAGCGUAAUAGCUCACUGGUCGAGUCGGCCUGCGCGGAAGAUGUAACGGGGCUAAACCAUGCACCGAAGCUGCGGCAGCGACGCUUAUGCGUUGUUGGGUAGGGGAGCGUUCUGUAAGCCUGCGAAGGUGUGCUGUGAGGCAUGCUGGAGGUAUCAGAAGUGCGAAUGCUGACAUAAGUAACGAUAAAGCGGGUGAAAAGCCCGCUCGCCGGAAGACCAAGGGUUCCUGUCCAACGUUAAUCGGGGCAGGGUGAGUCGACCCCUAAGGCGAGGCCGAAAGGCGUAGUCGAUGGGAAACAGGUUAAUAUUCCUGUACUUGGUGUUACUGCGAAGGGGGGACGGAGAAGGCUAUGUUGGCCGGGCGACGGUUGUCCCGGUUUAAGCGUGUAGGCUGGUUUUCCAGGCAAAUCCGGAAAAUCAAGGCUGAGGCGUGAUGACGAGGCACUACGGUGCUGAAGCAACAAAUGCCCUGCUUCCAGGAAAAGCCUCUAAGCAUCAGGUAACAUCAAAUCGUACCCCAAACCGACACAGGUGGUCAGGUAGAGAAUACCAAGGCGCUUGAGAGAACUCGGGUGAAGGAACUAGGCAAAAUGGUGCCGUAACUUCGGGAGAAGGCACGCUGAUAUGUAGGUGAGGUCCCUCGCGGAUGGAGCUGAAAUCAGUCGAAGAUACCAGCUGGCUGCAACUGUUUAUUAAAAACACAGCACUGUGCAAACACGAAAGUGGACGUAUACGGUGUGACGCCUGCCCGGUGCCGGAAGGUUAAUUGAUGGGGUUAGCGCAAGCGAAGCUCUUGAUCGAAGCCCCGGUAAACGGCGGCCGUAACUAUAACGGUCCUAAGGUAGCGAAAUUCCUUGUCGGGUAAGUUCCGACCUGCACGAAUGGCGUAAUGAUGGCCAGGCUGUCUCCACCCGAGACUCAGUGAAAUUGAACUCGCUGUGAAGAUGCAGUGUACCCGCGGCAAGACGGAAAGACCCCGUGAACCUUUACUAUAGCUUGACACUGAACAUUGAGCCUUGAUGUGUAGGAUAGGUGGGAGGCUUUGAAGUGUGGACGCCAGUCUGCAUGGAGCCGACCUUGAAAUACCACCCUUUAAUGUUUGAUGUUCUAACGUUGACCCGUAAUCCGGGUUGCGGACAGUGUCUGGUGGGUAGUUUGACUGGGGCGGUCUCCUCCUAAAGAGUAACGGAGGAGCACGAAGGUUGGCUAAUCCUGGUCGGACAUCAGGAGGUUAGUGCAAUGGCAUAAGCCAGCUUGACUGCGAGCGUGACGGCGCGAGCAGGUGCGAAAGCAGGUCAUAGUGAUCCGGUGGUUCUGAAUGGAAGGGCCAUCGCUCAACGGAUAAAAGGUACUCCGGGGAUAACAGGCUGAUACCGCCCAAGAGUUCAUAUCGACGGCGGUGUUUGGCACCUCGAUGUCGGCUCAUCACAUCCUGGGGCUGAAGUAGGUCCCAAGGGUAUGGCUGUUCGCCAUUUAAAGUGGUACGCGAGCUGGGUUUAGAACGUCGUGAGACAGUUCGGUCCCUAUCUGCCGUGGGCGCUGGAGAACUGAGGGGGGCUGCUCCUAGUACGAGAGGACCGGAGUGGACGCAUCACUGGUGUUCGGGUUGUCAUGCCAAUGGCACUGCCCGGUAGCUAAAUGCGGAAGAGAUAAGUGCUGAAAGCAUCUAAGCACGAAACUUGCCCCGAGAUGAGUUCUCCCUGACCCUUUAAGGGUCCUGAAGGAACGUUGAAGACGACGACGUUGAUAGGCCGGGUGUGUAAGCGCAGCGAUGCGUUGAGCUAACCGGUACUAAUGAACCGUGAGGCUUAACCUU